rnacentral:lncRNA from 1 species
CGCUCCCAAACACCUGUGUAUACAAAAAGUGUAUAUCGAUGUAUAUAAGUCAUAUUUUGAUCCAUUUUCGUGUAUAUUGGACUGCAUACCGAGUGUAUACAGUCUAUUUUGACCCCUGCAACCUGCAUUUCAUUUUAUUGAACCUGUAUAUCGAUAUUUUUGCUAUGUAUACUUGUGUAUAUACUUGUAUACAUCAUGUAUACUGCCCUCUUUUGAGUUUGUUGAGAUCUGAAAAUUCAGUUUUCAGCCCCCCAUUUAUUGUAUUCAACCUGUUCAUCAGUUCCACAGCCUGCUACGGAGGCUAACUCGAAAGGAAAGAAGGAUUUGGGGCCUCUAUGGCCCAUCCGAAAUGCAAAUGGAGAGGAAAAAUGUCCACAAUGGACUCGGAAGGCAUCAUAUGCAAACAAAAACGAAGAUAUUAGAAUGGGAAAGAUUCCAAAACUUCAUCUUAAUAUUUAAAUCAAAGUAAUCACAACAAAUGGAACAAUCUACACAAUUGAUACUAAAUAAGCAAUAGAUCAUGGGAAAGCAGGACUUCUCCAAUUAGACAAAAGAACAAGGAAAAUGAACAUCUUUCGCAAUUAAAACAAGUGCUAUUUUUAGAUUUUCGGCAAAUGGACCAAAUCCCGUGCAUGAUGGGCAUUUAAUGGAUAGGGAAAUAGAUGUAGAGAUGAUCAAUUAACAACUAAAACAUGAAUGACUAGAUGGGGGUCAUAACUUAAUAUUUCUCCUAACCUAAUAAUAUAAAACACACCAACAAUGAUAAGUAAGAACAGGGUACUGCCAAACAUUUCUAGUUCAAAUUAAUGACAUGAAUAGCUUUAGAUUUUUUAUUUUUUCUUUAUAAAUGUACAGGCAGCAAAACAGAGACUAAAACGUAAAAAUUAUCCUCAGAUUGAACUACCAAUGAGACUCAAUUGAUCACGCAAAGAUUCAGACCUCAACAUGCUCCACCUUACCUGAUUCGCGGAUUGAUUUAAGGAAGCGAACAUCACCAACUUUCAGAUUUAAAUAAACUACAUUAGGUCGCAGGACAACGAAGACAUUCAAGAAGUAGAUAAAACUAACGAUUAAAGCAAACGUGCAACUAUACCAUAUAUGUUGGCCAAAUAAGUUGAUUCGAGAACUCAUGCUUACAUGAACUCCAACAUUAAACGGUAAUGAGUAUAAACGAAACAGAACAGCCCCCUCAUGAGAUUAAGCAAUAAAUGGAACUCAAAGAAUAGUUAAAAACAUCAACAUUAGAUACGCAUUUGUAAUCUCCAACUCAACCAAAUGACGAAAUCACAUAAGCACAAAUAUAUUAUAUCGAGAUAUCAAUAGACCAACAAUGACUAAAAGCAAAUAACCACAUAAUAAGGCCUUUUCGAUAUUGGAGCACAUCACAUCAAAAUAGAAGAAGAGACGAGGGGAAUAUUGUGAAGGAGGAAGCGUUACCUUUCUCCGGGCAGCGAACAGAGGCGAACAAGCAGGGAGUCAGCGACUUCAACACCAACGUAAACUUCGGGAGCUCCUAUGGGUCCUAGCAACACGAAUGAACAAGGAAAACAGAGAAAAUGGAUGAUGGGUGCGACUUAAGCUUUGGAGUUCUUUCCGCUGUCAAGUCUUACUAAUUUUUCUUUCAAAUUUCUUCUUCCCCACUCCCAAAAAAAAAAUCCCCUCACACUAGUAGAAGAACGAGGUAUUUAUAGUGGAAAAUUAGGGUUCAGAUUUUG